rnacentral:tRNA from 1 species
GCCGGGAUGGCGGAAUUUGGCAGACGCAGGAGUCUUAAAAACUCCGGCCGCAAGGCGUGCAGGUUCGAGUCCUGCUCCCGGCA